GACGAACGCUGGCGGCGUGCCUAAUACAUGCAAGUCGAACGCAGUGGGGACGGGUGAGUAACACGUGGGUAACCUCCCAUCAGAGGGGAUAACACUUUGAAACAGGUGCUAAACCGAUAUUGAUGGUUGGACCCGGGGUGCAUUAGCUAGUGGGUGAGGUAACGGCUCACCAAGGCCACGAUGCAUAGCCGACCUGAGAGGGUGAUCGGCCACACUGGAACUGAGACACGGCCCAGACUCCUACGGGAGGCAGCAGUAGGGAAUAUUCGGCAAUGGGCGAAAGUCUGACCGAGCAAGGCCGCGUGGGUGAAGAAGGUUUUCGGAUCGUAAAGCUCUGUUGUUAGGGAGGCGGUAUCUAACGAGAAAGCCACGGCUAACUACGUGCCAGCAGCCGCGGUAAUUC
rnacentral:rRNA from 1 species